rnacentral:rRNA from 1 species
GAUGAACGCUAGCGGCAGGCUUAAUACAUGCAAGUCGUGGGGCAGCGCAGUGUAGCAAUACAUGGGCGGCGACCGGCAAACGGGUGCGGAACACGUACGCAACCUUCCUUCAAGUGGGGGAUAGCCCGGGGAAACCCGGAUUAAUACCCCGUAAUACUGUUGAAUGGCAUCAUUUGACACUUAUAGCUCCGGCGCUUGAA